ncrna:unclassified sequences narK RNA
GGCACAAAUCUCGCUAAGUAAAUCACUGCAAGGUAACCAACGGCGGUUGCCCCACCUACGACAAAGACGUCGC